rnacentral:rRNA from 1 species
AUACGUAGGGAGCGAGCGUUGUCCGGAAUUACUGGGUGUAAAGGGAGCGUAGGCGGGAGUGCAAGUCAGAUGUGAAAUACAUGGGCUCAACCCAUGGGCUGCAUUUGAAAAUGCAUUUCUUGAGUGAAGUAGAGGUAAGCGGAAUUCCUGGUGUAGCGGUGAAAUGCGUAGAUAUCAGGAGGAACACCGGUGGCGAAGGCGGCUUACUGGGCUUUUACUGACGCUGAGGCUCGAAAGCGUGGGGAGCAAACAGGAUUAGAUACCCUGGUAGUCCACGCUGUAAACGAUGAUUACUAGGUGUGGGGGGACUGACCCCUUCCGUGCCGCAGUUAACACAAUAAGUAAUCCACCUGGGGAGUACGGCCGCAAGGUUGAAACUCAAAUGAAUUGACGGGG